CGAGUGGCGGACGGGUGAGUAAUGUCUGGGAAACUGCCUGAUGGAGGGGGAUAACUACUGGAAACGGUAGCUAAUACCGCAUAACGUCGCAAGACCAAAGAGGGGGACCUUCGGGCCUCUUGCCACCGGAUGUGCCCAGAUGGGAUUAGCUAGUAGGUGGGGUAACGGCUCACCUAGGCGACGAUCCCUAGCUGGUCUGAGAGGAUGACCAGCCACACUGGAACUGAGACACGGUCCAGACUCCUACGGGAGGCAGCAUUG
rnacentral:rRNA from 1 species